rnacentral:rRNA from 1 species
GAUGAACGCUAGCUACAGGCUUAACACAUGCAAGUCGAGGGGAAACGGCAUUAAGUGCUUGCACUUUUUGGACGUCGACCGGCGCACGGGUGAGUAACGCGUAUCCAACCUUCCCAUGACUAAGGGAUAACCUGCCGAAAGGCAGACUAAGACCUUAUGGUCUUCACUGACGGCAUCAGAUGUGAAGUAAAGAUUUAUCGGUUAUGGAUGGGGAUGCGUCUGAUUAGCUUGUUGGCGGGGUAACGGCCCACCAAGGCAACGAUCAGUAGGGGUUCUGAGAGGAAGGUCCCCCACAUUGGAACUGAGACACGGUCCAAACUCCUACGGGAGGCAGCAGUGAGGAAUAUUGGUCAAUGGGUGAGAGCCUGAACCAGCCAAGUAGCGUGCAGGAUGACGGCCCUAUGGGUUGUAAACUGCUUUUGUAUGGGGAUAAAGUCAAUCACGUGUGAUUGUUUGCAGGUACCAUACGAAUAAGGACCGGCUAAUUCCGUGCCAGCAGCCGCGGUAAUACGGAAGGUCCGGGCGUUAUCCGGAUUUAUUGGGUUUAAAGGGAGCGUAGGCUGGAGAUUAAGUGUGUUGUGAAAUGUAGACGCUCAACGUCUGACUUGCAGCGCAUACUGGUUUCCUUGAGUACGCACAACGUUGGCGGAAUUCGUCGUGUAGCGGUGAAAUGCUUAGAUAUGACGAAGAACUCCGAUUGCGAAGGCAGCUGACGGGAGCGCAACUGACGCUGAAGCUCGAAGGUGCGGGUAUCGAACAGG